rnacentral:SRP_RNA from 1 species
GCCAGGUGUGGUGGUGCGCACCUGUAAUCCCAGUUACUUGGGAGGCUGAGGCAGGAGAAUUGCUUGAACCCGGGAGGCGGAGGUUGCAGUGAGCCAAGAUUGCACGACUGCGCUCCAGCCUGGGUGACAGAGCAAGACUCUGUCUCAA